ensembl:lncRNA
AAAAUGAAUGAUCACCACCAGAACGUCCUUCCUGUUCCUCCUGUCAUCUGCCAAGGUGAGGAAUCAAUACAAAUGCAGUUUGUAGUGUAGCAUAAUGUAUUUUUUUCAAAUAGAUUUACAGUACAUUAAAGCUGAUGGUCUUCCAUGAAAUUUUUUGUAUUCAUGCUUUCCAGAAAAAUGGACCAAAAGAAAUACACUUAAUUUGAUCAGAGAACUAUAUUUGGAUUAAAUUAUUCAGUGUUCUACCUGUGCUGGGUUGCAAGGGAGAGUGCAGGAAACACAAGGUAGUAGUUGUGUUUAGGGAGAUCUUUUGUAUGACAUUACUGAUUAUCAUGCCCAAAUAGUUUGACUGUGUAUGCUCUAAUCAAUGUCCUGUGUUGUUUUUGUAGAUAUCUCUCUAUGGACAGAUACAAUUCUUUCCACACUUAAGGUUUCAUUUGAGGACAAGAACACAUUGCUGGAACACACUGAAUUUUUCAUCUACCAACACUCCCCAGCCCUUGUCCUCAGGGUCAUUCUCAAUCCACUUUUUGCCCAGCCUGUAUUCAUGUUCAAGAUUGCCCUCAACCAAGUGCAAGGCAUUGCACUUGGCCUUCAUGAUAUUCACUUUGGCCUACCUGUUGAGUCUGUCACAGUCCUUUUAGAGGGCAUCCCUUCUCUCAAGCAUGUCAAUUUCUUUGAUACAAUUUUUCCUUCAUGAAAUUUUUUCACAAUCUGUUUUCAUAAACGUGAUUUGUGAAUGCAGAAUAAUUUAGUAUGCCUUAUAACUAAGAUUUCUAUUAAAUAGAAUUUGAGUUAUUUGAUGAUUCAAAAGUACUUGAUGAAUGAGAAAAUGUACUAUAUAAUAUGACAAUUUUCCUUAAUAUUUACAUAAUGCAUAGUUCUGCCCAAAUUUUAGCAGGCUCUAGACAUUAAAUUUGCCUGAUCUGGUACAUCAAGCCAUUUCUGUCCCAGGUAAGGAUACAGAUAAUCUGUCUAUCUCUUUAGAUUGUCUGAAAUAAAGUGGACUUGCAAUUUAUGCUUGUACUCAGGGAAAACCCAGUGGAAGUCUGUUUAUCCUGAAUUCUUGCAUAGUUUUUGGGUUGUGGUACAGUCCCCUCUUCAACUUAUUUCUUUUGAAAGAACUGAGAAAUAAAAUGUCUU